AAGUGAAAAAGGCAAACUAUGGGAAACCGUAGGACGCAAAGCCAAGGGCCUAAACCAAAAAUUUUAAGUUUUGGUAGGCAGCCGGUUGCCACA
rnacentral:ncRNA from 2 species